UUCGGCUAAAGAAGGAGACUCGUUCCCCCUGGGAGCUCUUCCUGUUGAACUCUGGUCAACAACUGGAACUGUAUCCUGGGAAAGGAGCCACCUACAUCCGUGCUGCAGGUACGAGUGGAGUGUUACUUCGUAAAGUCAGCGGAACAGCGAUUGUACAGCUGCCAUCUAAACAGCAGAUUCAGGUGUUUGAGACAUGCAUGGUCACAGUGGGACGGGUGUCCAACAUCGAUCACAACAAACGGAUCAUUGGUAAAGCUGGCAGGAACCGUUGGCUCGGCAUCCGGCCUUCCAGCGGCUUGUGGAAGAGGAAAGGUGGCUGGGCCGGACGCAAGAUCAAACCACUACCCCCCAUGAAGAGUUAUAUUAACCUGCCUUCAGUGUCUGCCAACUAAACAUGUGCUGAACUCUGUAUGCAACAGGACUAGCAUUGCAGGAGUCGCCACCUCUUCUCUCUCUUUUUAGAUGGAUCAGAGGCAAUGAUGUUAAUGGACAGAGCUGUCUCUGUCAGUGAUUACUCUGUAACUUUCUCAGUGAUGUAGUUUUGUGACAAUGUUUUGGUCUGUUAUGACAUGGAUUUUGUGAAAUGAAAUGAUUUAACUGUCUGAAGUGUUGGUAGAGAAUGAGGCUUGGGGAAGUAGACAAGGUUCCACACUUUAUUAAACACAGCUGCUCCUAGGAAACCAAACAAUAAAACACAUUUACAUCCAUAGUGAAACAUUCAAA